rnacentral:lncRNA from 1 species
UUAAUUUAUAUGAAACUCUAUUUCAUGGUACAUGAGCAUCGUUCAACUUUUCUAAUAAAUUAAUUUAGUAAAUUUUAUAUACUCCCUAAAUUAGUGGACUAACCAAUUAAUUUAGUAAAUUUUAAUAUGUAGAAUGCCUGCCCGGCCCAUCCAUCCAUCAAUAAAUAAAUAAAUAAAGAUAUGAUCUGAUCAGACCUCUAAAAACUGGCAUCUGAAUAAUCUCAAAACUUAAAAACAUGACGAGGUUUGAUCAGUAGUAGGAUCAUCCGAUCAGCUAACUGAGUGAGAGCACAUGAAUCAAAAACCUACCUACUUCCUCCUAUAACUAAACUUACAGCAUAGAACCUCUCGUAUCUCGAAUGAUUCCACUUCCUGCACGAAACC